GGAGAGAUGGCCGAGUGGCUGAAGGCGGCGGUUUGCUAAACCGUUAUAGGGUUGAAAAGCUCUAUCGAGGGUUCGAAUCCCUCUCUCUCCGCCA
rnacentral:tRNA from 1 species